UGGCUCAGUUGGUAGAGCAUGGUGUGUGCAACGCCAGGGUUGUGGGUUCGUUUCCCAC
rfam:Salmo salar isolate Sally breed double haploid chromosome ssa19, whole genome shotgun sequence.